rnacentral:rRNA from 1 species
UACGUAGGGUGCAAGCGUUGUCCGGAAUUAUUGGGCGUAAAGAGCUCGUAGGCGGUCUGUCGCGUCUGCUGUGAAAACUCAGGGCUUAACCCUGAGCUUGCAGUGGGUACGGGCAGACUAGAGUGCGGUAGGGGAGACUGGAAUUCCUGGUGUAGCGGUGAAAUGCGCAGAUAUCAGGAGGAACACCGGUGGCGAAGGCGGGUCUCUGGGCCGUAACUGACGCUGGAGGGAGCGAAA